rnacentral:rRNA from 1 species
GACGAACGCUGGCGGCGUGCCUAACACAUGCAAGUCGAGCGGAGACAGUGGAGUGCUUGCACAAAACUGUUUUAGCGGCGGACGGGUGAGUAACGCGUGAGCAACCUCUCUCUCAGUGGGGAAUAACACAGGGAAACUUGUACUAAUACCGCAUGAGACCACAGAACCGCAUGGUUUAGGGGUCAAAGAUUUAUUGCUGAGAGGUGGGCUCGCGUCUGAUUAGGUAGUUGGUGAGGUAACGGCCCACCAAGCCGACGAUCAGUAGCCGACCUGAGAGGGUGAUUGGCCACAUUGGGACUGAGACACGGCCCAAACUCCUACGGGAGGCAGCAGUGGGGAAUAUUGGGCAAUGGGGGAAACCCUGACCCAGCAACGCCGCGUGGAGGAAGAAGGUUUUCGGAUCGUAAACUCCUGUCCUCAGGGAAGAGCAGAAGACGGUACCUGAGGAGGAAGCCCCGGCUAACUACGUG